rnacentral:rRNA from 1 species
UGCGCCUUGCCACGCCCGCUCAGAAACUCAAAGGAAUUGACGGGGGCCCGCACAAGCGGAGGAGCAUGUGGUUUAAUUCGAUGAUACGCGAGGAACCUUACCUGGGCUCGAACGUAAGAUGACUGUAGGUGAAAGCUUACAUCUCUUCGGAGCAUUUUACGAGGUGCUGCAUGGUUGUCGUCAGCUCGUGCCGUGAGGUGUCGGGUUAAGUCCCAUAACGAGCGCAACCCCUACCUUUAGUUGCCAUCAGGUAAUGCUGGGGACUCUAAAGGAACUGCCUACGCAAGUAGUGAGGAAGGCGGGGAUGACGUCAAAUCAGCACGGCCCUUACGUCCAGGGCUACACACGUGCUACAAUGGUCGGUACAAAGGGUUGCCAAGCCGCGAGGUGGAGCUAAUCCCAUAAAACCGAUCGUAGUCCGGAUCGCAGUCUGCAACUCGACUGCGUGAAGUCGGAAUCGCUAGUAAUCGUGAAUCAGAAUGUCACGGUGAAUACGUUCCCGGGCCUU